UUCCGGUUGAUCCUGCCGGACCUUACUGCUAUCGGGGUGGGACUAAGACAUGCGAGUCGAGCGUCUCUAGCUAUGUUGAGACGCGGCAGACGGCUCAGUAACACGUGGCUAACCUACCCUCAGGACGAGGACAAACCCGGGAAACUGGGGCUAAUACUCGAUAGGUGAGUAUGUCUGGAAUGAUUUCUCACUCAAAGGGCAUUGGGAACAUGCUUCCAAUGUCGCCUGGGGAUGGGGCCGCGUCCGAUCAGGUUGUUGGUGAGGUAACGGCUCACCUAGCCUAUAACCGGUACGGGCCGUGAGAGCGGUAGCCCGGAGAUGGGUACUGAGACGAGGACCCAGGCCCUACGGGGCGCAGCAGUCGCGAAAACUCCGCAAUGCACGAAAGUGUGACGGGGCUACCCCGAGUGCCAUCCGCUGAGGUUGCUUUCUUUGGUAUAACUAGCCGAGGGAAUAAGGAGAGGGCAAGACUGGUGUCAGCCGCCGCGGUAAUACCAGCUCUCCGAGUGGUAGGGAUGAUUAUUGGGCUUAAAGCGUCCGUAGCCGGCUUAGCAAGUCUCCUGUUAAAUUCAGCGACCUAAUCGUUGAGCCGCGGGAGAUACUACUAUGCUAGGAGGCGGGAGAGGUCGACGGUACUUCUGGGGUAGGGGUGAAAUCCUAUAAUCCCGGGAGGACCACCAGUGGCGAAGGCUGUCGACUAGAACGCGCUCGACGGUGAGGGACGAAAGCUGGGGGAGCGAACCGGAUUAGAUACCCGGGUAGUCCCAGCCGUAAACGAUGCGGGCUAGGUGUUGGAAUGGCUACGUGCCAUUUCAGUGCCGCAGGGAAGCCAUUAAGCCCGCCGCCUGGGGAGUACGGCCGCAAGGCUGAAACUUAAAGGAAUUGGCGGGGGAGCACCACAAGGCGUGAAGCUUGCGGUUCAAUUGGAUUCAACGCCGGG
rnacentral:rRNA from 1 species